rnacentral:rRNA from 1 species
CCUACGGGAGGCUGCAGUGAGGAAUAUUGGUCAAUGGACGAGAGUCUGAACCAGCCAAGUAGCGUGAAGGAUGACUGCCCUAUGGGUUGUAAACUUCUUUUAUAUGGGAAUAAAACGUUCCACGUGUGGGAUUUUGUAUGUACCAUAUGAAUAAGGAUCGGCUAACUCCGUGCCAGCAGCCGCGGUAAUACGGAGGAUCUGAGCGUUAUCCGGAUUUAUUGGGUUUAAAGGGAGCGUAGGUGGAUUGUUAAGUCAGUUGUGAAAGUUUGCGGCUCAACCGUAAAAUUGCAGUUGAAACUGGCAGUCUUGAGUACAGUAGAGGUGGGCGGAAUUCGUGGUGUAGCGGUGAAAUGCUUAGAUAGCACGAAGAACUCCGAUUGCGAAGGCAGUUCACUGGACUGCAACUGACACUGAGGCUCGAAAGUGUGGGUAUCAAACAGGAUUAGAUACCCGUGUAGUC